rnacentral:rRNA from 1 species
ACGCUGGCGGCAUGCUUUACACAUGCAAGUCGGACGGCAGCACAGAGAAGCUUGCUUCUUGGGUGGCGAGUGGCGAACGGGUGAGUAACAUAUCGGAACGUACCGAGUAAUGGGGGAUAACUAAUCGAAAGAUUAGCUAAUACCGCAUAUUCUCUGAGGAGGAAAGCAGGGGACCUUCGGGCCUUGCGUUAUUCGAGCGGCCGAUAUCUGAUUAGCUAGUUGGUGGGGUAAAGGCCUACCAAGGCGACGAUCAGUAGCGGGUCUGAGAGGAUGAUCCGCCACACUGGGACUGAGACACGGCCCAGACUCCUACGGGAGGCAGCAGUGGGGAAUUUUGGACAAUGGGCGCAAGCCUGAUCCAGCCAUGCCGCGUGUCUGAAGAAGGCCUUCGGGUUGUAAAGGACUUUUGUCAGGGAAGAAAAGGCUGUUGCUAAUACCGACAGUUGAUGACGGUACCUGAAGAAUAAGCACCGGCUAACUACGUGCCAGCAGCCGCGGUAAUACGUAGGGUGCGAGCGUUAAUCGGAAUUACUGGGCGUAAAGCGAGCGCAGACGGUUACUUAAGCAGGAUGUGAAAUCCCCGGGCCCAACCUGGGAACUGCGUUCUGAACUGGGUGACUAGAGUGUGUCAGAGGGAGGUAGAAUUCCACGUGUAGCAGUGAAAUGCGUAGAGAUGUGGAGGAAUACCGAUGGCGAAGGCAGCCUCCUGGGAUAACACUGACGUUCAUGCUCGAAAGCGUGGGUAGCAAACAGGAUUAGAUACCCUGGUAGUCCACGCCCUAAACGAUGUCAAUUAGCUGUUGGGCAACUUGAUUGCUUAGUAGCGUAGCUAACGCGUGAAAUUGACCGCCUGGGGAGUACGGUCGCAAGAUUAAAACUCAAAGGAAUUGACGGGGACCCGCACAAGC